rnacentral:rRNA from 1 species
GACGAACGCUGGCGGCGUGCUUAACACAUGCAAGUCGAACGGAAAGGCCUCUUUCGGGGGGUACUCGAGUGGCGAACGGGUGAGUAACACGUGAGUAACCUGCCCUUGACUUUGGGAUAACUUCAAGAAACUGGGGCUAAUACCGGAUAGGAGCUCCUGCUGCAUGGUGGGGGUUGGAAAGUUUCGGCGGUUGGGGAUGGACUCGCGGCUUAUCAGCUUGUUGGUGGGGUAGUGGCUUACCAAGGCUUUGACGGGUAGCCGGCCUGAGAGGGUGACCGGCCACAUUGGGACUGAGAUACGGCCCAGACUCCUACGGGAGGCAGCAGUGGGGAAUAUUGCACAAUGGGUGGAAGCCUGAUGCAGCAACGCCGUGUGCGGGAGGACGGCCUUCGGGUUGUAAACCGCUUUCGCUCAUGACGAAGCUUUGUGUGACGGUAGUGGGUAAAGAAGCACCGGCUAACUACGUG